UACGUAGGGGGCAAGCGUUGUCCGGAAUCAUUGGGCGUAAAGAGCGCGUAGGCGGCCCUGUAAGUCCGCUGUGAAAGUCAAGGGCUCAACCCUUGGAUGCCGGUGGAUACUGCAGGGCUAGAGUCCGGAAGAGGCGAGUGGAAUUCCUGGUGUAGCGGUGAAAUGCGCAGAUAUCAGGAGGAACACCGAUGGCGAAGGCAGCUCGCUGGACCGACACUGACGCUGAGGCGCGAAAGCGUGGGGAGCAAACAGG
rnacentral:rRNA from 1 species